GAAGAACGCUGGCGGCGUGCUUAACACAGGCAAGUCGAACGGAGUGGCGAAAGGGUGAGUAACACGUGGGUGAUCUGCCUUGCACUUCGGGAUAAGCUUGGGAAACUGGGUCUAAUACCGGAUAGUGCAAGAUGAGCUCGCGGCCUAUCAGCUUGUUGGUGGGGUAAUGGCCUACCAAGGCGUCGACGGGUAGCCGGCCUGAGAGGGUGUACGGCCACAUUGGGACUGAGAUCCGGCCCAGACUCCUACGGGAGGCAGCAGUGGGGAAUAUUGCACAAUGGGCGGAAGCCUGAUGCAGCGCCGCCGCGUGGGGGAUGAAGGCCUUCGGUUUUUUUUCUCCUUUCUACGGGGACGCCGUACCUGUUCAACAAGCACCUCCUAUCUACAUGCCAGACGCCGCGUUAGUAC
rnacentral:rRNA from 1 species